rnacentral:rRNA from 1 species
GAUGAACGCUGACAGAAUGCUUAACACAUGCAAGUCAACUUGAACUUCGGUUUGGGUGGCGGACGGGUGAGUAACGCGUAAAGAACUUGCCUCACAGAUAGGGACAACAUUUGGAAACGAAUGCUAAUACCUGAUAUUAUGAUUAUAUGGCAUCGUAUAAUUAUGAAAGCUAUAUGCGCUGUGAGAGAGCUUUGCGUCCCAUUAGCUAGUUGGAGAGGUAACGGCUCACCAAGGCGAUGAUGGGUAGCCGGCCUGAGAGGGUGAUCGGCCACAAGGGGACUGAGACACGGCCCUUACUCCUACGGGAGGCAGCAGUGGGGAAUAUUGGACAAUGGACCAAGAGUCUGAUCCAGCAAUUCUGUGUGCACGAUGAAGUUUUUCGGAAUGUAAAGUACUUUCAGUUGGGAAGAAAAAAAUGACGGUACCAACAGAAGAAGUGACGGCUAAAUACGUG